GCAGAACCGGUGAAGAUUUGGGGACGGGACGAGGCGGCCGCGACCCUGCCGGAGUCCGGGGGGGACCUCCAGAAACCCGGGGGGUCCCUGACUCUCGUGUGCCGCGCAUCCGGAUUUAGUAUUGGGAGUUUUGGGAUGGGCUGGAUGCGCCAGAGCCCCGGGAAGGCGCUGGAAUGGGUCGCAGGGAUCAACAGCGGUGGCGGCACCUGGUACACGCCGUCGGUGCGGGGCCGGUUCACGAUCUCCAGGGACAACGGGCAGAGCUCGGUGACGCUGACCAUGACCAACCUCAAGGACGACGAUUCCGGCUCCUAUUUCUGUGCCAAAUCUGCUGGUACUGGUGGUGCUGGUGCUGCUGGUUACGUUAAUGGUUUUGGCCCCGUCCCCGUCACUCCGUUCCCGUCUGUCCCCAAAGGUCCCCAGACCCCUCCCCAAAAUCCCAACCCUUGA